GACGAACGCUGGCGGCGUGCUUAACACAUGCAAGUCGAACGGAAAGGCCCUGCUUUUGUGGGGUUCUCGAGUGGCGAACGGGUGCGUAACACGUGUGUAACCUGCCCUUGACUUUGGUAUAACUUCAGGUAACUGGGGCUACUACCGUAUAGGAUCUCCCGCUGCAUGGUGGGCGUUGGAACUUCUCGGCGGUUGGGGAUGGACUCGCGGCUUAUCAGCCUGUUGGUGGGGUAGUGGCUUACCAAGGCUUUGACGGGUAGCCGGCCUGAGAGGGUGACCGGCCACAUUGGGACUGAGAUACGGACCAGACUGCUACGGGAGGCAGCAGUGGGGAAUAUUGCACAAUGGGCGGAAGCCUGAUGCAGCAACGCCGCGUGCGGGAUGACGGCCUUCGGGUUGUAAACCGCUUUCGCCUGUGACGAAGCGUGAGUGACGGUAAUGGGUAAAGAAGCACCGGCUAACUACGUG
rnacentral:rRNA from 1 species